ACACCGUUGGUGAAACGGUAUCAUGCAUCGUUGCCAUCUGAGUUUAUCAGGGAAAGAAAAUCGAUGCGGCAAGGGUUCGACUCCCUUACGGUGUA
rnacentral:tRNA from 8 species